rnacentral:rRNA from 1 species
CCUACGGGAGGCAGCAGUAGGGAAUCUUCCACAAUGGGCGAAAGCCUGAUGGAGCAACGCCGCGUGGGUGAAGAAGGUCUUCGGAUCGUAAAACUCUGUUGUUAGAGAAGAAAGUGCGUGAGAGUAACUGUUCACGUUUCGACGGUAUCUAACCAGAAAGCCACGGCUAACUACGUGCCAGCAGCUGAGGUAAUACGUAGGUGGCAAGCGUUAUCCGGAUUUAUUGGGCGUAAAGGGAACGCAGGCGGUCUUUUAAGUCUGAUGUGAAAGCCUUCGGCUUAACCGGAGUAGUGCAUUGGAAACUGGGAGCCUUGAGUGCAGAAGAGGAAAGUGGAACUCCAUGUGUAGCGGUGAAAUGCGUAGAUAUAUGGAAGAACACCAGUGGCGAAGGCGGCUCUCUGGUCUGUAACUGACGCUGAGGUUCGAAAGCGUGGGUAGCAAACAGGAUUAGAUACCCGUGUAGUC